rnacentral:rRNA from 1 species
UACGUAGGGUGCGAGCGUUAAUCGGAAUUACUGGGCGUAAAGCGUGCGCAGGCGGUCUUGUAAGACAGGUGUGAAAUCCCCGGGCUUAACCUGGGAACUGCACUUGUGACUGCAAGGCUGGAGUACGGCAGAGGGGGAUGGAAUUCCGCGUGUAGCAGUGAAAUGCGUAGAUAUGCGGAGGAACACCGAUGGCGAAGGCAAUCCCCUGGGCCUGUACUGACGCUGAGGAGCGAAAGCAUGGGGAGCGAACAGG